GAUGAACGCUGGCGGCGUGCCUAACACAUGCAAGUCGAGCGAACAGACGAGGAGCUUGCUCCUCUGACGUUAGCGGCGGACGGGUGAGUAACACGUGGAUAACAACCUUAUAAGUCUGGGAUAACUUCGGGAAACCGGAGCUAAUACUGCAGAAUAUAUUGAACCGCUUGGAUCAUUAGUGAAAGACGGUUUUGCUGUCACUUAUAGAUGGACCCGCGCCGCAUUAGCUAGUUGGUAAGGUAACGGCUUACCAAGGCAACGAUGCGUAGCCGACCUGAGAGGGUGAUCGACCACACUGGAACUGAGGCACGGUCCAGACUCCUACGGGAGGCAGCAGUAGGGAAUCUUCCGCAAUGGGCGAAAGCCGGACGGAGCAGCGCCGCGUGAGGGAUGAAGGUCUUCGGAGCGUAGAAAUCUGUUAUUGGGGGAGAACAAAGGUGGAAGUAACUAUGCACGUCUUGACGGUAGCUGAUCAGAAAGCGACGGCUAACUACGUG
rnacentral:rRNA from 1 species